rnacentral:rRNA from 1 species
UUAAGCGACUAAGCGUACACGGUGGAUGCCCUGGCAGUCAGAGGCGAUGAAGGACGUGCUAAUCUGCGAUAAGCGUCGGUAAGGUGAUAUGAACCGUUAUAACCGGCGAUUUCCGAAUGGGGAAACCCAGUGUGUUUCGACACACUAUCAUUAACUGAAUCCAUAGGUUAAUGAGGCGAACCGGGGGAACUGAAACAUCUAAGUACCCCGAGGAAAAGAAAUCAACCGAGAUUCCCCCAGUAGCGGCGAGCGAACGGGGAGCAGCCCAGAGCCUGAAUCAGUGUGUGUGUUAGUGGAAGCGUCUGGAAAGGCGCGCGAUACAGGGUGACAGCCCCGUACACAAAAAUGCACAUGCUGUGAGCUCGAUGAGUAGGGCGGGACACGUGGUAUCCUGUCUGAAUAUGGGGGGACCAUCCUCCAAGGCUAAAUACUCCUGACUGACCGAUAGUGAACCAGUACCGUGAGGGAAAGGCGAAAAGAACCCCGGCGAGGGGAGUGAAAAAGAACCUGAAACCGUGUACGUACAAGCAGUGGGAGCACGCUUAGGCGUGUGACUGCGUACCUUUUGUAUAAUGGGUCAGCGACUUAUAUUCUGUAGCAAGGUUAACCGAAUAGGGGAGCCGAAGGGAAACCGAGUCUUAACUGGGCGUUAAGUUGCAGGGUAUAGACCCGAAACCCGGUGAUCUAGCCAUGGGCAGGUUGAAGGUUGGGUAACACUAACUGGAGGACCGAACCGACUAAUGUUGAAAAAUUAGCGGAUGACUUGUGGCUGGGGGUGAAAGGCCAAUCAAACCGGGAGAUAGCUGGUUCUCCCCGAAAGCUAUUUAGGUAGCGCCUCGUGAAUUCAUCUCCGGGGGUAGAGCACUGUUUCGGCAAGGGGGUCAUCCCGACUUACCAACCCGAUGCAAACUGCGAAUACCGGAGAAUGUUAUCACGGGAGACACACGGCGGGUGCUAACGUCCGUCGUGAAGAGGGAAACAACCCAGACCGCCAGCUAAGGUCCCAAAGUCAUGGUUAAGUGGGAAACGAUGUGGGAAGGCCCAGACAGCCAGGAUGUUGGCUUAGAAGCAGCCAUCAUUUAAAGAAAGCGUAAUAGCUCACUGGUCGAGUCGGCCUGCGCGGAAGAUGUAACGGGGCUAAACCAUGCACCGAAGCUGCGGCAGCGACGCUUAUGCGUUGUUGGGUAGGGGAGCGUUCUGUAAGCCUGCGAAGGUGUGCUGUGAGGCAUGCUGGAGGUAUCAGAAGUGCGAAUGCUGACAUAAGUAACGAUAAAGCGGGUGAAAAGCCCGCUCGCCGGAAGACCAAGGGUUCCUGUCCAACGUUAAUCGGGGCAGGGUGAGUCGACCCCUAAGGCGAGGCCGAAAGGCGUAGUCGAUGGGAAACAGGUUAAUAUUCCUGUACUUGGUGUUACUGCGAAGGGGGGACGGAGAAGGCUAUGUUGGCCGGGCGACGGUUGUCCCGGUUUAAGCGUGUAGGCUGGUUUUCCAGGCAAAUCCGGAAAAUCAAGGCUGAGGCGUGAUGACGAGGCACUACGGUGCUGAAGCAACAAAUGCCCUGCUUCCAGGAAAAGCCUCUAAGCAUCAGGUAACAUCAAAUCGUACCCCAAACCGACACAGGUGGUCAGGUAGAGAAUACCAAGGCGCUUGAGAGAACUCGGGUGAAGGAACUAGGCAAAAUGGUGCCGUAACUUCGGGAGAAGGCACGCUGAUAUGUAGGUGAGGUCCCUCGCGGAUGGAGCUGAAAUCAGUCGAAGAUACCAGCUGGCUGCAACUGUUUAUUAAAAACACAGCACUGUGCAAACACGAAAGUGGACGUAUACGGUGUGACGCCUGCCCGGUGCCGGAAGGUUAAUUGAUGGGGUUAGCGCAAGCGAAGCUCUUGAUCGAAGCCCCGGUAAACGGCGGCCGUAACUAUAACGGUCCUAAGGUAGCGAAAUUCCUUGUCGGGUAAGUUCCGACCUGCACGAAUGGCGUAAUGAUGGCCAGGCUGUCUCCACCCGAGACUCAGUGAAAUUGAACUCGCUGUGAAGAUGCAGUGUACCCGCGGCAAGACGGAAAGACCCCGUGAACCUUUACUAUAGCUUGACACUGAACAUUGAGCCUUGAUGUGUAGGAUAGGUGGGAGGCUUUGAAGUGUGGACGCCAGUCUGCAUGGAGCCGACCUUGAAAUACCACCCUUUAAUGUUUGAUGUUCUAACGUUGACCCGUAAUCCGGGUUGCGGACAGUGUCUGGUGGGUAGUUUGACUGGGGCGGUCUCCUCCUAAAGAGUAACGGAGGAGCACGAAGGUUGGCUAAUCCUGGUCGGACAUCAGGAGGUUAGUGCAAUGGCAUAAGCCAGCUUGACUGCGAGCGUGACGGCGCGAGCAGGUGCGAAAGCAGGUCAUAGUGAUCCGGUGGUUCUGAAUGGAAGGGCCAUCGCUCAACGGAUAAAAGGUACUCCGGGGAUAACAGGCUGAUACCGCCCAAGAGUUCAUAUCGACGGCGGUGUUUGGCACCUCGAUGUCGGCUCAUCACAUCCUGGGGCUGAAGUAGGUCCCAAGGGUAUGGCUGUUCGCCAUUUAAAGUGGUACGCGAGCUGGGUUUAGAACGUCGUGAGACAGUUCGGUCCCUAUCUGCCGUGGGCGCUGGAGAACUGAGGGGGGCUGCUCCUAGUACGAGAGGACCGGAGUGGACGCAUCACUGGUGUUCGGGUUGUCAUGCCAAUGGCACUGCCCGGUAGCUAAAUGCGGAAGAGAUAAGUGCUGAAAGCAUCUAAGCACGAAACUUGCCCGAGAUGAGUUCUCCCUGACCCUUUAAGGGUCCUGAAGGAACGUUGAAGACGACGACGUUGAUAGGCCGGGUGUGUAAGCGCAGCGAUGCGUUGAGCUAACCGGUACUAAUGAACCGUGAGGCUUAACCUU